rnacentral:rRNA from 1 species
UACAGAGGGUGCAAGCGUUGUUCGGAAUCAUUGGGCGUAAAGCGCGAGUAGGCGGCUUCUUAAGUCUGAUGUGAAAGCCCAGGGCUUAACCCUGGAAGUGCAUUGGAUACUGGGAAGCUAGAGGGUGUAAGAGGAGAGUGGAAUUCAUGGUGUAGGGGUGAAAUCCGUAGAUAUCAUGAGGAACAUCAGUGGCGAAGGCGGCUCUCUGGUACAUUUCUGACGCUCAGACGCGAAAGCAUGGGGAGCAAACAGG